rnacentral:rRNA from 1 species
UGGGUGACGAGUGGCGGACGGGUGAGUAAUGUCUGGGGAUCUGCCCGAUAGAGGGGGAUAACCACUGGAAACGGUGGCUAAUACCGCAUAACGUCGCAAGACCAAAGAGGGGGACCUUCGGGCCUCUCACUAUCGGAUGAACCCAGAUGGGAUUAGCUAGUAGGCGGGGUAAUGGCCCACCUAGGCGACGAUCCCUAGCUGGUCUGAGAGGAUGACCAGCCACACUGGAACUGAGACACGGUCCAGACUCCUACGGGAGGCAGCAGUGGGGAAUAUUGCACAAUGGGCGCAAGCCUGAUGCAGCCAUGCCGCGUGUAUGAAGAAGGCCUUCGGGUUGUAAAGUACUUUCAGCGGGGAGGAAGGCGAUGUGGUUAAUAACCGCGUCGAUUGACGUUACCCGCAGAAGAAGCACCGGCUAACUCCGUGCCAGCAGCCGCGGUAAUACGGAGGGUGCAAGCGUUAAUCGGAAUUACUGGGCGUAAAGCGCACGCAGGCGGUCUGUUAAGUCAGAUGUGAAAUCCCCGGGCUUAACCUGGGAACUGCAUUUGAAACUGGCAGGCUUGAGUCU